AUCCACAAGCAGGUGUUAAAAAUGAUUAAUGUCAGUAUGGUAACAGCAAAUAAGUAUAAUGAUUUAUUUGUGAUAUGUAUCUGUAUCUGUGAAAGCUCUACAUGUGAUUUGUAUAAAUGAAGUCUCCGACAAAUGCUUGACACACAGUGCAAUGGCUUAUCUUGCGUUAUUGGAAGACUUGGCAAAUAAUCCAUUCCGCCGGUAGCGCGUUUUCAAAGAUCGCGCCAAUGAUGUGGUUAUGCUGCUGUCCAAGGUGGAAAGUUGUCUGUCCUCCUCCAGUUGCACUCGUUUCACGUCGGUGUGCUGUGACGCGUUUUUUUGCUGAUAAUUUAAUGUCAAACCACUUUUUUAUUUCUGGAAGUGUUCUCUCCUCAUAUUCAACGGAAUUAAACUCACUGGUAACAUGUUCCCAUGCAGAUUUGUUUUCUUUUGUUAGUCAUUCCUCCCGCACUAAGUAAAGCACACAGGGUGUGUUAUUAGGAUUUAUCCACCAGUAACUCAAUUUCUGUGUCUGUAAAAUUCCUCUUUUUCGCUCUCUUUGUCAUUAUUGCGAUGAGGGGAAAAAGCAAAACCACGUGACAUAUAACGGGAAGUGUUGUCACCAUAUAUGGCUCAUUGGAGGCGUUUCGGAAUGCAAAUGACUAUGAACGUGCACGAGCAUGGUGCUUAAGAACAAGUGGGAUUUAUCAUCAAGGAUUACUUACUGAUGUGCGUACGAACCCCGUCCGCACGUUUGAUAAAUCCCGAUUUUUUUGUACUUGGGCACAUUCUAAAUUUCAUUCGUAGGUACAAAAAUAGAACAUUUUCUACGCAAUGUUGAUAAAUGAGGCCCCAGGUCUUUUAACAAGUCCUCCCAGAGACUGCACAACACUCAGUCAAUUUCAUCAUGGCCAAAAGUUUCAUCAACAAGUGGUCUGGUUUUUCACUUCUGGACUGAUCUCUUCCAUGCGCCUCCCCAUGUUGUAUAUGAGGAUAGGCUUCACUCUGCUCCUAAGCAAGGAUUUCCCCUUCUUCAUCCACAAAGUCAUCCUAUGGAAAUAUAAAGGACAUAUUUAAAACACACGCAAUGCACAUAUACAGCACCACCAUUAGAGAUUGAAAAGCCCAUCGUUAAUAUGGUCAUUUCUCAUCAAUAUGGCCAUUUGAGUAUGAAAAGAUUUUAAAACUGUAGUUGGAAAAGAUCAUGUGCAUCUCAAACAGCUAGCUUUAGUGCAAUGAACCAGUUAAGUACUUUGUGAGAACUUCAUCCACUUCAACUUCAUUUUAUGAAUUUUUUUAUACUUUAUAAAGUGUGUUUAUACUUUAGUUGCUUUCAUUAGUUAACUAACAGAAAUUUGAGAGUGGAAAACAAUCAUGUGAGUGAAACAUGUUAGGUUUUCCCGUUUCAGCUCUGGAUUAGCAUGUAUUGACUUUAUACUAGUAUAUCCAAAGGUAAAUUCAUGCUUACCACACAACAGGAGAUGUCUUCAUCAUCUUGCCCUGACUCUGAAUCGCUGGAGUUCAGGAAAAGAUGAAUGCUUUGGUCAUCUGCUGUUUCGUCUGAAAAACAACAACAAGCAGAAGAUACCGUUAUGCAUUAUAACGCGAUAUUCCUAUUUAAUUAUAAAUUACUAUUACAACAACAACAAAUUACUAUUACAAUAACAGCAAGGGCUACCACAAUAGAUAAAACAUGCUGAAGGGCUACUUUUUGAUAUAGAACACUCAAAACGUUUUUGUUUAACUUUUAUUUUACUUGUUGAUAUGUUUUAGUAUUGUUUAAAAUGAUAACAUACGUAAACCAAGCCAAGCUAAUAUAAAAAAAUAUGUAAUUAUGCUCACCGUUGUCUGAACUGAUAUUUGCUGGGUGCAUUUCUUCAAAUUCUUCAAUCACUUCUUUUGCUGGGUCCUCAGAUUGCAUUUCACUUCCACCAAUCUCUCUAACUCCAGUAAAGUUAUCUUUCGGGUCUUUACACAUUGAUGGUACAUCACCCACAGCGGGUUCAUGACUGGUUAGCAGCAGGCUCUGUACGUUAUCUGACGUAGCCCUUUUGGAUUUUUUCUCCCAAACUCCAUUUUUGAAAUAGCGCUUUCUGUGGUCAAAAUACUGUGUAUAACACAGUUUAGUGUUGCAAUGUUCACAGACGCGCCGAGGUCGUUCCAGCACACCGCGCUUGUUUAUAGACUUGUUCGCCUUCAUGCGGCACCGCAAGAAUCGACAGUCGGGUGACGUCAAAGUAUCGCGAGAGGGAGACGAAAUAUGAUUUCUUGAAUCAUUCUCGCAGUACUUCGACGUCAUCCGGCUGUCGGUUCUUGCGGCGCCGCAUAAAGUCGAACAAGCCUUAUAUCAUAUGCAUGCGCUUGUCUCACAAGAUUUUCCUCAUAUCAGUAACCUCACAUGUAAUUGGAGGAGCCCGACGAGCUUCUCGCCUUCGUUCAAUCACGUGCGUGGUUAUGGCCACGACUCAUACAGCAGAGAAAGAAAAGACGAGCAUAUAAUAACAGACGUUUGGUGUUUGUAGCUCCGAGAAGACGGGUGCACAAUCCCAAGAUUGCGGAGGCUGUACGGCGUCUCUGAGGCACACAGCCGGCGCUAUGAACCAGAGCAAGGACUAACGUCGCCUCAUAACGAAGCCGUGACCUCCUAUUUCCUUGGGGCUAUUUCAGCAAGUCCAUAUUUAACUGCUGAGAAUGACGACAAUGUUUCUGCCUGUAAGACGUAUUAUGAGUCGGUACGCCGGAGCUUCAGAUACAAGCAACCUGAACUCGCAUCGCUUUAGGAAACUGCGAAAAGUUUAGCUCGGAGUCGAUCCAGAAGAAAAAGGGUACGAUUUAUUAUAUUAGAUCAG